AAAUCCUUUAAUUUAACCCCGUGAGGUUAAGAAGGUUGGAUGGGUCCUUUUUACGGAUUCUGAUAUGCUAUGCCUUUUUACCUGCGGGUAAAAAGGCAUUUUUUAU
rfam:Geosporobacter subterraneus DSM 17957 genome assembly, contig: EJ58DRAFT_scaffold00036.36